UACGGGGGGAGCAAGCGUUGUUCAGAAUUACUGGGCGUAAAGGGCGCGUAGGCGGCGACUCAAGUUAGAUGUGAAAGUCCUGGGCUUAACCUGGGGACUGCAUUUGAUACUGGGUUGCUUGAAUUCGGGAGAGGAUAGCGGAAUUCCCAGUGUAGAGGUGAAAUUCGUAGAUAUUGGGAAGAACACCGGUGGCGAAGGCGGCUAUCUGGACCGACAUUGACGCUGAGGCGCGAAAGCGUGGGGAGCAAACAGGG
rnacentral:rRNA from 1 species